GCUUCCGUGGCUCAGCGGUUGAGCGCCUCGAGGUAAUUCAUCAUGGUGAACAUCCUUCUCGAGGCGGCGUGGGUUCGACUCCCACCGGAGGCA